GAAGCCAAAUAAAGCGCAUGCUGUGUACAGAGGGUGUCGAGAAUGCCUCCUACGUGACGGAAAGCAGAUCCGUGGUUCCCUGCAGACUGGCAGGAGCAGAUUCCAAAGGCACAGGAAGAAGCUUGCAGGUUUCCUUAAUGACAACAAAAAAGGGAGUAAUCCUACCCACUGUAAGAGUCAUGACUCUUGAUUGCAGCUGACAGAAACUCAUGACAGCCUGCUUUAGAUGAAGGGGGAGAGAAGGACUGGAAGAAUCUUGGAGUUGGGAAUGUCACACGUAAUUGAAGGAAGAACAAGAAAACUAUAGCAGCUGCUCCCAACCCCAGAACCUUUGCUGUCUUGGGACGGAUCACCGCUGCAAGAGGGGAAGUUGCUACUGUGAUGAAUUCUGCCAUGUGGCACCAGACUGCCACCCAGACCACAGUGUCCUCUGCAACCCUGGUAACUCACAUACAGGCCCGAUUCCACCUACAGCAAAGCUGGAUGCGAUGGCUGGCAGAGGCAAACCCUUUGCCUGCACUUCAGGCCAAAGCCGGGAUGUGGCCUAGAUGGUUCCUAAGGUCCCUGACAAUCCUGAGAUCUUGCAUCUUGUCUAUUUCAGGUCAAAGCUUCUCAGAUGACCAAGAUGGUGCUGCAGAUGGUGCUGAGGAUGGAGAACCCACCAAGCCC
rnacentral:lncRNA from 10 species